rnacentral:rRNA from 1 species
CCCCAUUAGUUCACGUAAUAAAUUAUGGCUUAUUGUGGUUUGAGAUUGUAUUUAACAAUUGAAGGAUGUAAACCUAAGAAGUAUGCUUUCAUAAGUGAAACUUAAAUGUUUUGGUGGUGAUUUAGAACAAUGGUGGAACAUAUGAUUUAAUUCGAUGUUAUGCGAUAAAGCUUAUCAAUUUUUGUUUUCUUUCCAUACCUUUUAGAAGGUAGAACUCUAUUCUCGGAAGUGCAUGGCUGUUUUUGAAGGUAAUGUUUUGUAAUAUCUGGUUCAGUUCAGUAAUAAUCGACACACUAAUUGUAUAUAAAUUUUAUCUUUCUUUCACUUGGGGGACAGGCAUCUGUGAUUUGUCAUUUGAUGUGCGCCAAUUUUAUGUUUUCUGCAUUUGGUACAGGCAUCUGUGAUUUGUCAUUUGAUGUGCGCCAAUUUUAUGUUUUCUGCAUUUGGUACAGGCAUCUGUGAUUUUCAGAUUGAGUAACGUCGAGUCAUUAUGCUCUCAUUUUUGGAGAUAUUCAUGUGUUACAAAGAAAGUUAUAGGUUUCCUUUGAAAAUAGGAUUCUCAACAAUUAUCGUUCUAAUUGAAAAUUGAAAUGUUUUGAUGAAGGAGGAAUUAUUAGGAAUCAUUGGUUAGUUAUUCAAUGGUGGACAGGAUAUAAGUUUUGUACAUACCGCCCGUCAAGCAAAAAGCAGAGUUGAAUAUGAAAAUGGCAUAAAAUAAAAGCUAUUUUUUGUGCUUUCUAAUUUGUGUUAAGUCGAAACAUGGUUGCCAAUAAGGAAUUAUUGGCAGGA